rnacentral:rRNA from 1 species
ACAGUGUCUGGUGGGUAGUUUGACUGGGGCGGUCUCCUCCUAAAGAGUAACGGAGGAGCACGAAGGUUGGCUAAUCCUGGUCGGACAUCAGGAGGUUAGUGCAAUGGCAUAAGCCAGCUUGACUGCGAGCGUGACGGCGCGAGCAGGUGCGAAAGCAGGUCAUAGUGAUCCGGUGGUUCUGAAUGGAAGGGCCAUCGCUCAACGGAUAAAAGGUACUCCGGGGAUAACAGGCUGAUACCGCCCAAGAGUUCAUAUCGACGGCGGUGUUUGGCACCUCGAUGUCGGCUCAUCACAUCCUGGGGCUGAAGUAGGUCCCAAGGGUAUGGCUGUUCGCCAUUUAAAGUGGUACGCGAGCUGGGUUUAGAACGUCGUGAGACAGUUCGGUCCCUAUCUGCCGUGGGCGCUGGAGAACUGAGGGGGGCUGCUCCUAGUACGAGAGGACCGGAGUGGACGCAUCACUGGUGUUCGGGUUGUCAUGCCAAUGGCACUGCCCGGUAGCUAAAUGCGGAAGAGAUAAGUGCUGAAAGCAUCUAAGCACGAAACUUGCCCCGAGAUGAGUUCUCCCUGACCCUUUAAGGGUCCUGAAGGAACGUUGAAGACGACGACGUUGAUAGGCCGGGUGUGUAAGCGCAGCGAUGCGUUGAGCUAA